AUUAGCCAUGCAGUCUCAGUACAAGCCAAAUUAAGGCGAAACCGCAAAAGGCUCAUUAAAUCAGUUAUGGUUCCUUGGAUCGUACAAUCCAUUACUUGGAUAACUGUGGUAAUUCUAGAGCUAAUACAUGCAAACAGAAUCCCGACCAGAGAUGGAAGGGACGCUUUUAUUAGAUCAAAACCAAUCGGGGCUCCGGCCCCGCACUUCUUGGUGACUCUGAAUAACUUUUAGCUGAUCGCACGGUCCUCGUACCGGCGACGCAUCUUUCAAAUGUCUGACUUAUCAACUGUCGAUGGUAGGUUCUGCGCCUACCAUGGUUGUAACGGGUAACGGGGAAUCAGGGUUCGAUUCCGGAGAGGGAGCCUGAGAAACGGCUACCACAUCCAAGGAAGGCAGCAGGCGCGCAAAUUACCCACUCCCGGCACGGGGAGGUAGUGACGAAAAAUAACGAUACGGGACUCAUCCGAGGCCCCGUAAUCGGAAUGAGUACACUUUAAAUCCUUUAACGAGUACCAAUUGGAGGGCAAGUCUGGUGCCAGCAGCCGCGGUAAUUCCAGCUCCAAUAGCGUAUAUUAAAGUUGUUGCGGUUAAAAAGCUCGUAGUUGGAUCUGUGUCUUACGAUGUCGGUUCACCGCUCGCGGUGUAACUGGCAUGUCCUGUGGGACGUCCUGCCGGUGGUGGUCCGGGUCCUCGGUUAUGUGUAGGGUCCGCCCGAAGCAUGCCUUGAGAUUCGGCCGCCGAUUCAAUCCCGCCGCGGUGCUCUUCACUGAGUGUCGAGGUGGGCCGGCACGUUUACUUUGAACAAAUUAGAGUGCUUAAAGCANGCUGAUUUCUGCCUGAAUACUGUGUGCAUGGAAUAAUGGAAUAGGACUUCGGUUCUAUUUUGUUGGUUUUAAGAAUCCGAAGUAAUGAUUAAUAGGGACAGGCGGGGGCAUUCGUAUUGCGACGUUAGAGGUGAAAUUCUUGGAUCGUCGCAAGACGUACCUAAGCGAAAGCAUUUGCCAAGUAUGUCCUCGUUAAUCAAGAACGAAAGUUAGAGGUU
rnacentral:rRNA from 1 species